UGGGGGAUAUUGCACAAUGGGCGAAAGCCUGAUGCAGCGACGCCGCGUGGGGGAUGAAGGCCUUCGGGUUGUAAACUUCUUUUGCUCUGAACAAGGCAUGCCUUUGGGGUGUGUUGAGUGUAGGGGUUGAUUAGCGCCGGCUAACUACGUGCCAGCAGCCGCGGUAAUACGUAGGGCGCGAGCGUUGUCCGGAAUUAUUGGGCGUAAAUGGCUUGUAGGUGGCUGGUUGCGUCUGUCGUGAAAGCUCAUGGCUUAACUGUGGGUUUGCGGUGGGUACGGGCUGGCUUGAGUGCAGUAGGGGAGGCUGGAAUUCCUGGUGUAGCGGUGGAAUGCGCAGAUAUCAGGAGGAAUACCGGUGGCGAAGGCGGGUCUCUGGGCUGUUACUGACGCUGAGGAGCGAAAGCGUGGGGAGCGAACAGG
rnacentral:rRNA from 1 species